rnacentral:RNase_P_RNA from 1 species
ACCACCGGCCACUCUAUCGCGGUUCCGAUGCAAAUCGGGAAUGAGGAAAGUCCGGACAACGUAGAGCACCACACCACCUAACGGGUGGGCUGCACCUCAGCAAUGAGGUGUGGACAGAUAGUGUCACAGAAAGCUAUACCGCUCGCCUUCGUCCUUUGGGGCUACGGCGAGUAAGGGUGAAAACGUGCGGUAAGAGCGCACGCCCGGGCGGGGCAACCCGUCGGGGGGAUAAACCUUGUGGGUUGAAAUGCCACGUACAUCCCGGGGCCUGCGGGCCGCUGAGUUGCUCGCUCAGUUUUCCCUUCGGGGAUGCCGGGAGGGGUAGGCAGAUAGAGCCGUCCUGUGAAGGCCGGCCUGGAUAAAUGAUAGAGGCUCCGCUUCGGCGGAGAACAGAAUCCGGCUUAUCGGCCGGGGGUGGAU